AAAGAGUGCGUAAUAGCUCACUGGUCGAGAGACGCUGCGCCGAAAAUGUCCGGGGCUCAAGCACGGAACCGAAGCUAUGGCAUGACAGCGAUGUCAUGGGUAGGGGAGCGUUCUUAUAAGGAAGAAGCAUUACCGUAAGGAGAUGUGGACAUAUAAGAAGUGAGAAUGCCGGUAUGAGUAUCGAAAAGAAAGGUGAGAAUCCUUUCCACCGAAAGCCCGAGGGUUCCUGAGCAACGAUCGUCGACUCAGGGUAAGUCGGGACCUAAGCCGAGGCGGAGACGCAUAGGCGAUGGACAACAGGUUGAAAUUCCUGUACCGGAUGGAGUCAUUUGAGCAAAGGAGCGACGCAGGAGGGCACAUGAUCGCGCGGCUGGAAGAGCGCGUCCAAGUGCGUAUGCGUAGAGGGAGGCAAAUCCCCCUUUACAGAAGCAGAGACAUGAUGGGGAGUUAAAGGAGACUUUGACGAACUCAUGGAUCCCACACUGCCAAGAAAAACUUCUAGCGAGACGAAAUCCGCCCGUACCGUAAACCGACACAGGUAGGCGGGGAGAGAAUCCUAAGGUGCGCGGGAAAACCCUCGUUAAGGAACUCGGCAAAUUGCAUCCGUAACUUCGGGAGAAGGAUGACCCUGAGUAGGCGAAAGGGAGAAACCCCCGGAACAGAAAAGGGUGGCAGAAAAGAGGCCCAAGCAACUGUUUACCAAAAACACAGGUGCCUGCGAAAGCGAAAGCUGAAGUAUAGGUGCUGACGCCUGCCCGGUGCUGGAAGGUUAAGGAGAGAGGUCAGCGAAAGCGAAGCUUUGAACUGAAGCCCCAGUGAACGGCGGCCGUAACUAUAACGGUCCUAAGGUAGCGAAAUUCCUUGUCGGGUAAGUUCCGACCCGCACGAAAGGUGUAACGACUUGGGCACUGUCUCAACGAGGGACCCGGUGAAAUUGAAAUACCUGUGAAGAUGCAGGUUACCCGCGACUGGACAGAAAGACCCCAUGGAGCUUCACUGCAGCUUGAGAUUGAAUCCCGGUGACAUAUGCACAGGAUAGGUGGGAGGCUAAGAAGUAAUGCCUUUGGGUGUUACAGAGCCGAUGUUGGGAUACCACCCUUAUGUUGCUGAGAUUCUAACACGGAGACUAACAACCUCGUGGACCAUCUCAGGCAGGCGGUUUGACUGGGGCGGUCGCCUCCUAAAAUGUAACGGAGGCGCCCAAAGGUUCCCUCAGGCCGGACAGAAACCGGCCGAAGAGUGCAAAGGCAGAAGGGAGCUUGACUGCGAGACAGACAAGUCGAGCAGAGACGAAAGUCGGGCUUAGUGAUCCGGUGGUACUGAGUGGAAAGGCCAUCGCUCAACGGAUAAAAGCUACCCUGGGGAUAACAGGCUAAUCUCUCCCAAGAGUUCAUAUCGACGGGGAGGUUUGGCACCUCGAUGUCGGCUCAUCACAUCCUGGAGCUGGAGUAGGUUCCAAGGGUUGGGCUGUUCGCCCAUUAAAGUGGUACGCGAGCUGGGUUCAAAACGUCGUGAGACAGUUUGGUUCAUAUCCAUCGCGGGCGCAAGAAGUUUGAGGGAGGCUGCUCCUAGUACGAGAGGACCGGAGUGGACGGAUCAACGGUGUACCAGUUGUCACGCCAGUGGCACGGCUGGAAAGCCGCAUCCGGAAAGGAUAAACGCUGAAAGCAUCUAAGCGUGAAGCCCGUCCCGAGAUGAGACUUCUCAUCAGCAAUGAGUAAGACCCCUUAAAGACGAUGAGGUUGAUAGGCUGUGAGUGGAAGUGGCGCAAGUCAUGGAGCGACGCAGUACUAAUAGGUCGAGGUCUUAGCUUA
rnacentral:rRNA from 1 species